GGUUGUACCUGUAUUCAUACAUGCUUGGAGACCCAAGAGCUAGGAAAUGGCAAAAAUACACAGCAAAUGAAGGAAGCUACUGUAACAUGAUGAAAUUGCACACACCUCGUAGGGAUGCUGCAAUCCGUAGUAAACUGGCUAGACAGAAUGUCACAUUUGUAGAGUUUUCAGAUUAGAGAUGGCAGUCAUCAGAUCAUCUAAAUCGGAGGACUAGCACUACUUUUAAGAAGGCUUUUUAUAGAAUAUGUAUACACAUGCUACGCAUAGAUAUACAAUGCAAAGUGGAAAAGGGAAACUGGCCCCAAUUUGUAGUUCCUGUCGAGAAGUUUUAACAGUGAAGCAUCUAUUGGCUGAUUGCCCCAUUUUUACCCAAGAAUGGAGAGCUUCCUCCCACUAUGGCAGGUCCAUGAGUGAGGUACUUGAUAAUAAUUGUGAAAUCAGUAAAUUAAUGUUUUUUUUUUAAUAACUUUUAUGUCACUAGAGAUGUUUUUACCUUUCUUUUUUUUCAAGAUCUGUUGGGUAGCACAUAUCGAAUUCAUUUUAUACAUAAUUUUUAUGGCUAAAAUAACUUUCAUGAUUGAAAUUUAUAGUUGUUAAAACAAGUAAGCAAAGAAAGGAUUCAGUUUCAAAAGAAAAACCUGAAACUUUCAUAGAUUUUACUAAGUUAUUUGAUAUGAAAAUAGUUUUAUAAUUAAUGCAAUGUCAAAAAUAAACCAUAACCAUUGUAAAACAAUCACCUAAAAGCACCACUUAUGUCAGAGUAUGUAUUAAACAUAG